UACAGAGGGUGCAAGCGUUGUUCGGAAUUAUUGGGCGUAAAGGGCGCGUAGGCGGUGCGGUAAGUCUGUAGUGAAAUCUCUGGGCUCAACUCAGAGUCUGCUGCAGAAACUGCCGUGCUUGAGUAUGGGAGAGGGAAGUGGAAUUUCCGGUGUAGCGGUGAAAUGCGUAGAUAUCGGAAGGAACAUCAGUGGCGAAGGCGACUUCCUGGACCAAUACUGACGCUCAGGUGCGAAAGCGUGGGGAGCAAACAGG
rnacentral:rRNA from 1 species